UGCAUAGGGGAUGAUGAUGAGA
rnacentral:siRNA from 1 species